UUAGUUAAAUCCAAAUCGAGGAGUGUCACUGUUAAUGAUAUUAAUGAGGAGACCCUCUAACUAAA
rnacentral:tRNA from 1 species